rnacentral:lncRNA from 1 species
UCAUUGAUUUGAAGUACGAUAUAAAGUCUGCCUUGGCUUUGGAUCUCAUCACAAAUGCAUUCUGUCAGUUCCUCAAGGCUCUUCUCACAUCAUGUGGUGACAUUUGCGUCCAGUGUUAUAUAGCCCUGUCACAUGGAAGAGGUGGAGGAGACCAGCUUACUAAAAAGAAACACUGCCUCUAUUGCUGUCAUCAACAGCCAGCUGGCUGAAAUCAAGCCACCACACAGCUCCACGAGACUCCCAAGGGCACUGAGCACACGCCUAUUCUGGAAGGCUUCCGAAUGGCGCCACUGGCUGCUGUACCACUCGCUUCCCUGCAUGUACAGGGUCCUUCUGGACCAAUACUGGCCGUACAUAAAGAAGCUGGUGGAGGCCGUCCAUGCACUUUUGAGGGACACCGUAACUCCAGCAUCCAUUGAUGUUGCACGCGAGUUCUCCCCCUUCGGUUUCUUUGUGUCCUGCUUCGGGCCAGCUUUAAUAAUGUCAUAUUGUGCUUUCAGAGAAACUCCUCUGGACCUUUGUGGGCAUGACAGGGAGGCUGUAUGGAGCUCCAGCAAUGACGUUCAGCCUGCACCAGUUACUCCACCUAGCGGAAGCAGUGCAGCAACUGGGGCCAUUGUGGGGCCAUUCUGCUUUUGAAUUUGAAAGCGGUAACGGGCAGCUUGUGAAGCUGGUGAAAGGAUCAA